AUUGAACGCUGGCGGCAUGCCUCACACAUGCAAGUCGAACGGCAGCACGGGAGCAAUCCUGGUGGCGAGUGGCGAACGGGUGAGUAAAGUAUCGGAACGUGCCCAGUCGUGGGGGAUAACGUAGCGAAAGUUACGCUAAUACCGCAUACGAUCUAUGGAUGAAAGCGGGGGAUCGCAAGACCUCGCGCGAUUGGAGCGGCCGAUAUCAGAUUAGGUAGUUGGUGGGGUAAAGGCUCACCAAGCCGACGAUCUGUAGCUGGUCUGAGAGGACGACCAGCCACACUGGGACUGAGACACGGCCCAGACUCCUACGGGAGGCAGCAGUGGGGAAUUUUGGACAAUGGGCGAAAGCCUGAUUCAGCCAUGCCGCGUGCAGGAUGAAGGCCUUCGGGUUGUAAACUGCUUUUGUACGGAACGAAAAGGUUUGGCCUAAUAAGCUGAGCUCAUGACGGUACCGUAAGAAUAAGCACCGGCUAACUACGUGCCAGCCGCCGCAGUAA
rnacentral:rRNA from 1 species